GGAACAUGGGUCUACAAGUGUUGCUGUGUCUUUUUUACUUUGGAGACAAAGGGAGACUAACUGGCCAGAGUGGAAGUCACUUGAAACUCAACAAACAUUGACCAGGUCACCAUUUAAUUCUACUACGUGCUAAUUACAUUUUAACCUCCAAGUUCAUUCAUUUUUUUUUUACUAAGGCUAAAACUUUAUGACCUCAUUUUCUCUGAUACACUGAGGUGUUAUCAAAUGUAUGAUAGAUUCUUC
rnacentral:lncRNA from 1 species